rnacentral:rRNA from 1 species
GACAGAGGUGCCGAGCGUUAGGCGGAAUCACUGGGCUUAAAGCGUGUGUAGGCGGACUUCUAAGUACCUUGUGAAAUCCCACGGCUCAACCGUGGAACUGCUUGGUAUACUGGUCGUCUUGAGCCACCUAGGGGCAACCGGAACAAACGGUGGAGCGGUGAAAUGCGUAGAUAUCGUUUGGAACGCCAAUGGUGAAAACAGGUUGCUGGGGGGUGUGCUGACGCUGAGACACGAAAGCCAGGGGAGCAAACGGG